UCAAGCGAACAAGGGCGCAGGGCGAAUGCCUUGGCACUGGGAGCCGAUGAAAGACGUGAUAAGCUGCGAUAAGCUUCGGGGAGCUGCAAAUAAGCAUUGAUCCGGAGAUUUCUGAAUGAGGAAACUCACCUGGGUUCAUACUCAGGUACAAUACACUGAAAUUUAAAAUAGGUGUAUUGAGGGAACCGCCUGAACUGAAACAUCUAAGUAGGGCGAGGAAGAGAUAUCAAACGAGAUUCCGUAAGUAGUGGCGAGCGAACGCGGAAGAGGGCAAACCGAGAGUAGAAAUACUUUCGGGGUACGGACUGCUUUUAAGACUCAAUCUGUUAACCGAACGGCAUGGGAAGGCCGGUCAGAGAGUGUGAGAACCACGUAGGUGAAAACGGAGAGAGCUGCGCAGGAUCCAGAGUACGGCCAGACACGUGAAACCUGGUCGGAAUACGGGGGGACCACCCUCCAACCCUAAAUACUACCCAGUGACCGAUAGCGUAUAGUACUGUGAAGGAAAGGUGAAAAGCACCCCGGGAGGGGAGUGAAAAAGAACCUGAAACCCUGUGCCUACAAGCACCUAGAGCGCGUCAAUGCGUGAUAGGGUACUUUUUGUAGAACGGUCCGGCGAGCGAUUGUAUGCAGCAAGGUUAAGGACUUAAGGUCUGGAGCCGAAGCGAAAGCGAGUUUGAAAAGGGCGUUAAGUUGCAUAUAAUGGGCCCGAAACCGGGUGACCUACCCAUGGUCAGGUUGAAGUGGAAGUAAAAUUCCAUGGAGGACCGAACCGACCUCCGUUGAAAAGGCGGCGGAUGAACUGUGGGUAGCGGAGAAAUUCCAAUCGAACCCGGAGAUAGCUGGUUCUCCCCGAAAUAGUUUUAGGACUAGCCUCAAGUUAGAUACCUGGAGGUAAAGCACUGAAUAGCCUAGCGGCCGAGAGGUUAGCGAAGCUUAUCAAACUCAGAAUGCCAGAGUAUUGAUGCUUGGGAGUCAGACAGUGUCAGAUAAAUGUCAUUGUCAAAAGGGAAACAGCCCAGAUCUACAGCUAAGGUCCCAAAGUCAGGUUAAGUGGAAAACGAUGUGAAGAUACGCAGACAACCAGGAUGUUGGCUCAGAAGCAGCCACUCAUUCAAAGAGUGCGUAAUAGCUCACUGGUCGAGCGUCUUUGCGCGGAGAAUUUAACGGGGCUAAACCUGACACCGAAGCUUAGGCAAUACAGCAAUGUAUUGGGUAGGGGAGCGUUGUAUACGCGGAGAAACAGUAGCGUAAGCGGCUGUGGAGUGUAUAGAAGUGAGAAUGCCGGAAUGAGUAGCGCGAAUGCAGUGAGAAUCUGCAUGGCCGAAAGCCUCAGGUUUCUGGAGGAAGGUUCGUCCGCUCCAGGUUAGUCGGGAGCUAAGGUGAGGCCGGAAGGCGUAGCCGAUGCACAGACGGUAGAGAUUCCGUCACCACCAAAAGAGUUAAGCACAGGGACACAUAUGAAGUCUCAGAGCCGGGUGUUGGUUCCGGUAGAGAUCGAGGGAAAUUAGUACCGAAGUCUGAGAUGGAAGAUGGCGAGAAAAGCUGUGUGUAUUUCUGAGGUGCCCGUACCGCAAACCGACACAGGUAGGUAGGAAGAAGAUUCUAAGGCCAACGGGAGAAGGGUUGUUAAGGAACUCGGCAAAUUGACCCCGUAACUUCGGGAGAAGGGGUGCUCCAGAGAUGGAGCCGCAGAGAAUCGGCCCAAGCAACUGUUUACCAAAAACACAGGUUUGUGCUAAAUCGAAAGAUGACGUAUACGAGCUGACGCCUGCCCGGUGCUGGAAGGUUAAGAGGAGAUGUGCAAGCAUUGAAUCGAAGCCCCAGUGAACGGCGGCCGUAACUAUAACGGUCCUAAGGUAGCGAAAUUCCUUGUCAGGUAAGUUCUGACCCGCAUGAAAGGCGUAAUGAUUUGGGCACUGUC
rnacentral:rRNA from 1 species